AUUGAACGCUGGCGGCAUGCCUUACACAUGCAAGUCGAACGGCAGCACGGGAGCAAUCCUGGUGGCGAGUGGCGAACGGGUGAGUAAUGUAUCGGAACGUACCUUUCAGUGGGGGAUAACGUAGCGAAAGUUACGCUAAUACCGCAUAUUCUGUGAGCAGGAAAGCAGGGGAUCGCAAGACCUUGCGCUGAUUGAGCGGCCGAUAUCAGAUUAGCUAGUUGGUGAGGUAAAGGCGUCACCAAGGCGACGAUCUGUAGCGGGUCUGAGAGGAUGAUCCGCCACACUGGAACUGAGACACGGUCCAGACUCCUACGGGAGGCAGCAGUGGGGAAUUUUGGACAAUGGGCGUAAGCCUGAUCCAGCCAUGCCGCGUGAGUGAGAAGG
rnacentral:rRNA from 1 species